UACGUAGGGUGCAAGCGUUAAUCGGAAUUACUGGGCGUAAAGCGUGCGCAGGCGGUUGUGCAAGACAGAUGUGAAAUCCCCGGGCUCAACCUGGAACUGCAUUUGUGACUGCACGGCUGGAGUGCGGCAGAGGGGGAUGGAAUUCCGCGUGUAGCAGUGAAAUGCGUAGAUAUGCGGAGGAACACCAGUGGCGAAGGCGAUCAUCUGGGGCUGUUCUGACGCUGGAGGAGCGAAAGCUAGGGGAGCAAACGGG
rnacentral:rRNA from 1 species